rfam:Rhizobium sp. PDO1-076 strain PDO-076 ctg16, whole genome shotgun sequence.
AUAAAAGAGGCAGGGAGUUCAAAUUCUUGCCAUUAUCGCGGUAAAGUCUUGGGAGGAUCAGAUCUUAGGCGCGCUUGUCGCAGCCCCUUAAUUGGUGAAGGAUCACGCGAUUAUUAGAACAAGGUCUUCACAGACCUUGUUUUUUUUU